GCAUAUGCUGUGAGCUCGAUGAGUAGGGCGGGACACGUGGUAUCCUGUCUGAAUAUGGGGGGACCAUCCUCCAAGGCUAAAUACUCCUGACUGACCGAUAGUGAACCAGUACCGUGAGGGAAAGGCGAAAAGAACCCCGGCGAGGGGAGUGAAAAAGAACCUGAAACCGUGUACGUACAAGCAGUGGGAGCACCCUUUUGGGUGUGACUGCGUACCUUUUGUAUAAUGGGUCAGCGACUUAUAUUCUGUAGCAAGGUUAACCGAAUAGGGGAGCCGGAGGGAAACCGAGUCUUAAUUGGGCGUUAAGUUGCAGGGUAUAGACCCGAAACCCGGUGAUCUAGCCAUGGGCAGGUUGAAGGUUGGGUAACACUAACUGGAGGACCGAACCGACUAAUGUUGAAAAAUUAGCGGAUGACCUGUGGCUGGGGGUGAAAGGCCAAUCAAACCGGGAGAUAGCUGGUUCUCCCCGAAAGCUAUUUAGGUAGCGCCUCGUGAAUUCAUCUCCGGGGGUAGAGCACUGUUUCGGCUAGGGGGCCAUCCCGGCUUACCAACCCGAUGCAAACUGCGAAUACCGGAGAAUGUUAUCACGGGAGACACACGGCGGGUGCUAACGUCCGUCGUGAAGAGGGAAACAACCCAGACCGCCAGCUAAGGUCCCAAAGUCAUGGUUAAGUGGGAAACGAUGUGGGAAGGCCCAGACAGCCAGGAUGUUGGCUUAGAAGCAGCCAUCAUUUAAAGAAAGCGUAAUAGCUCACUGGUCGAGUCGGCCUGCGCGGAAGAUGUAACGGGGCUAAACCAUG
rnacentral:rRNA from 1 species